rnacentral:rRNA from 1 species
AUUGAACGCUGGCGGCAUGCUUUACACAUGCAAGUCGAGCGGCAGCGCGGGGGCAACCCUGGCGGCGAGCGGCGAACGGGUGAGUAAUGCAUCGGAACGUAUCCUCUUGUGGGGGAUAACCCACCGAAAGGUGGGCUAAUACCGCAUAAGCUCUGAGGAGGAAAGCGGGGGACCGAAAGGCCUCGCGCUGGAGGAGCGGCCGAUGUCCGAUUAGCUAGUUGGUGAGGUAAAGGCUCACCAAGGCGACGAUCGGUAGCUGGUCUGAGAGGAUGAUCAGCCACACUGGGACUGAGACACGGCCCAGACUCCUACGGGAGGCAGCAGUGGGGAAUUUUGGACAAUGGGGGCAACCCUGAUCCAGCCAUGCCGCGUGAGUGAAGAAGGCCU